rnacentral:rRNA from 1 species
UACGUAGGGUGCGAGCGUUGUCCGGAAUUAUUGGGCGUAAAGAGCUUGUAGGCGGUUUGUCGCGUCUGCUGUGAAAAUCCGGGGCUCAACCCCGGACUUGCAGUGGGUACGGGCAGACUAGAGUGUGGUAGGGGAGGCUGGAAUUCCUGGUGUAGCGGUGAAAUGCGCAGAUAUCAGGAGGAACACCGAUGGCGAAGGCAGGUCUCUGGGCCACUACUGACGCUGAGAAGCGAAAGCGUGGGGAGCGAACAGG